CGUAGGCGGACAGCUAAGUCGGGGGUGAAAGCCCGGGGCUCAACCUCGGAAUUGCCUUCGAUACUGGCUAUCUUGAGUACGGGAGAGGUGUGUGGAACUCCGAGUGUAGAGGUGAAAUUCGUAGAUAUUCGGAAGAACACCAGUGGCGAAGGCGACACACUGGCCCGUUACUGACGCUGAGGCGCGAAAGCGUGGGGAGCAAACAGGAUUAGAUACCCUGGUAGUCCACGCCGUAAACGAUGAGUGCUAGUUGUCGGCAUGUAUGCAUGUCGGUGACGCAGCUAACGCAUUAAGCACUCCGCCUGGGGAGUACGGUCGCAAGAUUAAA
rnacentral:rRNA from 1 species